AGGACUAUGUUGUCCAAAGCUGGUAAUAGGGCAGGUAAGUCUUUCUAAACCUGAAGUUCAGGAUUAGUGAGUCCAUUUUCAAAAAAUCAGCUUUAUCAAUGAGAAAAUUGAUAAUUUGUUUUCCAUCCAUCUUACUGUAUUGUUUUUCAGUAGUUCAGACUCAGCUGAGGAAGACAAAUACCCCUUGUUUGAGUCUCCUAAAUGCCCCCCAAACUCACAACUCACAAUACAAGAGGUGGUACACAUCUGCCUUUUCUAAGUCAAAGGAAAGCAAGACAAACCUAGGUCUCCAAAGGCUUGGAAUAAAGUAUUGUGGAUAUAAACUCAGCAAAAUUAAACUCAGCCAUUAGGUUAGUUUCUUGUGGCUACUAUAACAAAUAACCACAAACUCAAUGACUUGAAGCAACAGAAAUUUAUCCUCUCAUUACUCUAGAGGACAGAAGUUCAAAAUCAGUUUCACUGGAUCUAAAGCAGGGAGCCAGCAGGGCCAUGCCCCGUUGCAAGACUCCAAGGGAGAAUCUGGUCCUUGCCUCUUCCAGCUUCUGGUGAUUGCUGGCUCUCCUUGUUAAUGGCUUCAUCUCUCCAGUUUGCCUCCGUGGUCACAUUGCCUCUUCCUCUUCUUUGUGGGUCACAUCUCCUUCUGUCUCUCUUUUAUAAGGAUAAAUGUGACUGCAUUUAGGGCCCACUCUGAUAAUCUUGGAAAAUCUCUUCAUCUCAAAAUCCUCGAUUUAAUCACCUACAAAGGUCAUUUUUCUAUCUAAGGUAACAUUUGUAGAUUCUAAGAAUUAGGACCUGGUAUCUUUGGGGGACAAUUUUUAUCUACCACACAAAUUCAAUAGUCACAGAUAAGUAUCAUUUCUUUCUCCCCCUUCUCUAUAUUCUGAAAUUUUACAAUUUAGGAUUUUAAAAUACAUAAUUUAAUAUUACAGUCUUAGAGAAUCAAAACAGUAAAUUCAUUCUAGAGUUGCACCACCCAAAUGAUAUUUAGAAAAAAUAUAUCAUAAGGUGAUCACGUUUUCUGUGCAUGUGUAUGAAUUGUCAGAUUUUCAAAUACAUACCAUGUGAUUUUCUUCCUGAAGUGUUGUAGAGUAUAAACUUAAAAAUGUAAAUGAUGUCCACAUAUAUCAUUAGCAUUUUAAAUUCAGGACCAAAGUUAUCCAUAAACCUAUUUUCAAAAUCCUGGUUGAAGCAUUUGCUAAAACAGUUCAAGAAUUGGGUCUUUUGUUCUUUAUACAGAGUAUAUGAUGGAAUUAUUCAUAUCUCUGAUAGGAAUUUGGAAUUUUAUCAUUAAAUUAUAAAAAACACUCACCUUUCAGCUAAGAACCAUUGGCUUCUUAGAUAUACUCAAUGUCAUUUUACUCUUUCUACUUUUUUUUUUUUUUUUUUUUUUUAGCAGGCACAUAGCUUCUACUAAAGCAUUCUCACUAGCUAAGAAACUCAAGACCAUAAGUGCAAUGUUUCAGUUAGGGAAGGCUAUGCUGUGAUCACAUAUACACCUCCAAAUUUAGUGUCUCACGGAACAAGUUAGCAGAUCAGGAUGGGAGUUCCAGGUCAGGGACAGCCCAGCUCUAUGCAGUCAUUCAGGGGAUCAGGAUGACAAAGCUUCCAUCAUCCUUUCAAGGUGGCUGUGGUCACCUCCCUCCCAGGAAGCCAGAAGAUAAAAAUGCAAAAGCACACCAUUACAAGAACUCGAGCUCCUGGCAACACACCAAGCUGCAAGGAAGAGUAGGAAAUAGAGUUUAGCUGUGUGCUUGAGAAGAACAGGGGAAGGGAUUUUGGUGAACAGCUUACAGUCUUUGCCACAUGCACCAUACAAAUUUCUGCCGCAACAAAAUUAAAGAUAACUUAUGUAAGUAGUAAUCAUGGGCCUUUAAGGUUAUUACAAGCAUUCACACCUGUGAACAAUAAGGAUUUAUUCUUCUCAAACAACUAUUUAUGCUUAAUCUCAGUAGGGAAGGGAAAAAGGAAAGAAAUGGUUUAUUUUCUUUUAGUUAUCUUGUGUAUUAGCUCAUAUAAAUUGUCUCAAAUGAUGGUAGCUCAGUCUUUUUUCUAAGUAAAUUUCAGUAUUCUACAAUAUAUGUUGCGAAGCUUUUCUUUCCUCAGUUCUUCAGUCAAUUGAGGAAGGAAAUAGGCCAAGGAAGUUAAACUUCUUUUCUCAAGGGGCCUAACUAUUGGCCCAGGCUGGGUUCCAAGAGCUGAAACAAGGAGCAGUAACUGGUGGGGCUGUCCUUUCCCCCAAUGAAGAGAAGAAAAGAAGAAUUCCAAGUCUGUUUCCCAGGCACAGGAAGGACCAGGAAGCAAGGAAAUUUCCAAUUUUCAAGUCCACUGAGCAGAAUACAAGAAGAACAGGGUCCAAAACAAAGAGUUCUCCUUUGAGAACCGGCAAGAUGGAGUAAUCAAGCCUUGCAAGCAGGCUGAGCCUGGAAAGGAGCCCAGAAGCAAUGGCAUUCUUGGGAGUGAAGUUUCUCUGGACCCUUAGGGAGCUGAGACUUUGACAUUCCAACCCUGCCUUCAGCUUGAGAUUUGUCCACCCCCUUCAUUUGGAGAAGAGCAAUCUGAAGCUAAACCACUCACAUUAUGAAAAUGCUGAUCCGUAGCACCGUCUUGAAAGGAAACUAAAACAAAACAAAACUUUACAAACAUAAUGAGUAGAACCACCUGUAGGACUAUGAGAAAUUAGCUUUCAUAGAAAAAAGGUGUUAUGGCAAGGCUUGAGAAUCAAGCAUAGUAAAUCUGAAUUAAAAAGAGUUUGAUUUCGGGGUGCCUGGGUGGCUCAGUCGGUUAGACAAUUGACUCUUGAUUUUGGUUCAGGCCAUGAUCUCACAAUUCAUGAGAUGGAGCCUGGUGAUGGGCCCCACACUGACAGCACAGGGCCUGCUUGGGAUUCUCUUUCCCUCCCUCUCUCUCUCAAACUAAAUAAAUAAACAUUAAAAAAAAAAAAAAAAAAGAGU
rnacentral:lncRNA from 1 species